AUAGUGUAGCAUGGGUCAUGCCUCAUUUUCUUACAAGCAAGGGAAACUUUUCUAAAUCCAACAACAACAACAACAAAAUAUGGUGGACGAGUAAGAGCAGGUGGUGAUACCAGGUCGUCCACAAGAGGAAGCCACCUAGUGGCAGGCAUGAAAUCUUCAAGAGCCUUCGAGGCUGAGUUUACUUCCUGAGGUUGGAGGCUCUCUGGAUACUCUAGCAGAUCCACAGAAGAUGCCUGUCCAGGCUUACGGGAAUGGGAGCUUACUGCACUCAAUUGAGCAUCUCCAGAGAAUGGUGACGAUGACGAAGCCCACAAAGAUGUUCAUCAUGAAGAAGGCAACGAUGAUGAUGUAGAUGAUGAAGAAGAUGGAGAUCUCCACACGGUAGUUGUAGACAGGACCAACGUUCUCACCGUUUGAAUCAAUAGCUUUGUACAGCAACCUGGAGGACAGGAAAACUAGAACUGUACUUGUGGAUGGAGCCCAGAGAUAAAGCCCGUUACUGUCAUUUCCUAACAACAGGCAGCUAGAGGGAAGGACCUGCAUAGCCACACUGUGGCUGCACUAAUCAACUUGUGUGGUGCUCUGCAUCCCCCUGCCCGGGGCUGAUAGCAUCUUUGAAGAUGUAUGUAGUCAAAGACAAACUGUACCUGACACCCCACAGCCACGUCAUUUAUUCAAGGAAGCCCAAACCAAAGCACAC
rnacentral:lncRNA from 1 species